AUACGUAGGGGGCAAGCGUUGUCCGGAAUUAUUGGGCGUAAAGAGCGCGUAGGCGGUCCGGUAAGUCGGUUGUGAAAGUCGGGGGCUCCACCCUCGGAUGCCGAUCGAUACUGUCGGGCUAGCGUCCGGAAGAGGCGAGUGGAAUUCCUGGUGGAGCGGGGAAAUGCGCAGAGAUCAGGAGGAACACCAAUGGCGAAGGCAGCUCGCUGGGACGGUACGGACGCUGAGGCGCGAAAGCGUGGGGAGCAAACAGGAUUAGAUCCCCUGGUAGUCCACGCCGUAAACGAUGGACACUAGGUGUGGGAGGUGUCGACUCCUCCCGUGCCGAAGCUAACGCAUUAAGUGUCCCGCCUGGGGAGUACGGCCGCAAGGCUAAAACUCAAAGGAAUUGACGGGG
rnacentral:rRNA from 1 species